rnacentral:rRNA from 1 species
UCCUGAGUAAAGUGGCGCACGGGUGAGUAACGCGUAGAUAACCUGUCUUUAUGUCUGGAAUAAUACGCCAAAGGGGUACUAAUACCGGAUACUCUUGCUUUAUAUAAGUUUUGCAAGCAAAGGUGGCCUCUGACAUAAGCUACUGCAUAAAGAGGGGUCUGCGUACCAUUAGCUUGUAGGUGGGGUAAUGGCCUACCUAGGCAACGAUGGUUAGCGGGUCUGAGAGGAUGAUCCGCCACACUGGCACUGGAACACGGGCCAGACUCCUACGGGAGGCAGCAGUGAGGAAUAUUGCGCAAUGGGGGCAACCCUGACGCAGCGACGCCGCGUGAGUGAGGAAGGCCUUCGGGUCGUAAAGCUCUGUCAAAGGGAAAGAAAUGUAUAAUGGCUAAUACCUGUUAUAUUUGACGGUACCCUUAAAGGAAGCACCGGCUAACUCCGUGCCAGCAGCCGCGGUAA